rnacentral:rRNA from 1 species
AGUGAACGCUGGCGGCGUGCCUAAUACAUGCAAGUCGAACGGAGUGGCGCACGGGUGAGUAAUAUAUAGCUAAUCUGCCCCUUGCUGGAGGACAACAGUUAGAAAUGACUGCUAAUACUCCAUAGAAAGGGAUGAGACUAUAUCGUAUCAGCUAGUCGGUGGGGUAACGGCCUACUGAGGUGAUGAUGCGUAACUGGUCUGAGAGGAGGAUCAGUCAGAUUGGAAGUGAGAAACGGUACAAACUCCUACGGGAGACAGCAGUAGGGAAUAUUGCGCAAUGGGGGAGACCCUGACGCAGCAACGCCGCGUGGAGGAUGAAACUUUUCGGAGCAUAAAGUCCGUUUGUAAGGGAAGCGGUACCUAACGAAUAAGCACCGGCUAACUCCGUGCCAGCAGCCGCGGUAAUUC